rnacentral:lncRNA from 1 species
AAAAUAUUGGAGGUAUCCUCCACGGUCCCUUCAUCAGAAGUUAACAAUGAAAAUUUUCAGUUUAUUUACAGUCUGCGUGGCUGCCUUAAUCGGCUUUGUAUUCUGCGGUGCCCCCUCCUGUCCGUGUACCUUUUUUUUUAUUUCUUCAUGCGUGUACAACUAAGCAAGGUGUUCGGUGGCGGCAACGGCUUCCACCUGACCACCCCUCACGCUGCAUGAUCGGGUGCUGACUGGUGCAUAUCGUGACAGUUGUCUGGUUCGGCUCUUCGGGCUAUCGGGAUAUUUCUCUGGAUUUCCCGACCCGUCUACUUGGAAUAUCUGGUCAAGCAACGUCACUACCCUGUCGCUACAGCCACAAAGAACGAACUUUCUGCGCAAGCACGGACUGCGAGGACACCUACCGGAGACACUACUUAGGCUCAACACUGUGCUCGUGUAGCCACAUUUUGGCAGUGGCGGUCGUGGCAGCAGGAAGUCGAGUCCACUGAGCAACGUUCUUCCUUUGCGCAGGUGCUGACUGGUGCAUAUCGUGACAGUUGUCUAGUUCGGCUCUUCGGGCUAUCGGGAUAUUUCUCUGGAUUUCCCGACCCGUCUACUUGGAAUAUCUGGUCAAGCAACGUCACUACCCUGUCGCUACAGCCACAAAGAACGAACUUUCUGCGCAAGCACGGACUGCGAGGACACCUACCGGAGACACUACUUAGGCUCAACACUGUGCUCGUGUUGCCACAUUUUGGCAGUGGCGGUCGUGGCAGCAGGAAGUCGAGUCCACUGAGCAACGUUCUUCCUUUGCGCAGGUACAUACGCACGUGCCGAAAGAAGAAAAUGAGCAGCAAAAUUUCAUCUUACUUUGCCACCAAUGCAGCUGAUGAGGAGUGACACAAAGGAAUACUACGCUGUAAGCGCCAUGUGUUUGGCCCUCAUUGCCAACCAAUUUCCUCGCAUCAUGGCUUGCUCCACGGUCGUCACAGCCAUCACCCUGCAGUUGCUGUUUGCCGACAUCGUCGACAGUGUACCCCUCCUGGACGUACCCUGACCUGGCGAGCCUGUUCACUCAUGCUGAACCACAAUGGCAAAGUCUCGAGAAACGAGUGGCAACAUCAACGUGCUGCUCAGUUUGAAUUUAUGAACUACACUGGGUAUGUGAACUGUUGUGGCGGUAUGGCUGUUAGUUGCUUCUCUGAUGGUGAUGCAAGUUGGUGUCAAUUUGUCAUUCUACUGUAAAACAUGUGAACUGUUGUGGUGGUAUGGCUGUUAGUUGCUUCUCUGAUGGUGAUGCACGUUGGUGUCAAUUUGUCAUUGUACUCUAAAAGAUGUGAACUGUUGUGGUGGUAUGGCUGUUAGUUGCUUCUCUGAUGGUGAUGCAUGUUGGUGAGAAUUUGUCAUUCUACUCUAAAAGAUUGCAUUUCCUGUGCCUGCUGCUGUUGCUGUGCCCACAAGUAUGAUUGUAUGUGUAUACGUAGUUGACAUUUAUGGCGUUAUAUGUUUGUGAGAAAUAGGGUACUUGGUCAUAAUACUCGUUCUGAAUACCUUCGAAAAAUGACCUUCCUUCCUAAUGACUUCUCAAACAAGUGAGAGUACUGUGCCACUUUUCCAAAGAUGCGCAUAACCACUCGCUAUAAAGUAUCAACUUGGAAGCUGCAUUCACUGCAAAUACAAAAUGUUGAAAUGCCAAAAUUAGUGGCACACACAAUGCAAGAAAUGCAUAAAUGAAAACUACAAGACAGUUAUGCAGAGCAAUGCAUAACAAUCUAAAGAUAAGCUGAGCUCACCUCUAGAUACAAAUUAAUAAAAUCUGGACUGAAUGAACAAGAAUAAUUGUGUCAAGGCAGUUUAAUCAUCCAAUGGACAAAAGAACAACUUGGUGAUGAACUGAACAGAAAAUAGUUGCAUGCCUUGUGUAUUCGUUUCGUGAUCAAUAUUUCUCACUUGGUUGUAGCUGGGAGGUCACUGUUGUGCGUGAUUUACACUGAGCAGUUGCUCCACUGAUCGCGUCUCGCUUUUUCUGACCACGUCUGAGCUACCUUAACUUUCAAAUGCGUAUUUUUUUAUGUAAUCAAUCGGCCACAGUUAAUGGGCCGCUUUUUAUUGAAUGCGUGUCAGGAAGUAAUCAUGAAGUUCAGUUGCUUUUUAACUGAUAAGCUUCUUUUGAUAUAAACAUGUUUUGCUACACAGAUAUCGGCAGGUUUUUCUGUAUUGGUAAAAACAAGUUCUUGUUUUGAACUUUUAAGCCCCGUCAAAACAAGCUGUACCUAUGUGGGAUGUGCCAGUUUUUCAAUGCUGCUAUAUUGUCUCUGUUCAUGAAACCGUGACAUAGACAGUCAACAGCAGUGGCAAUCAUCAUUGUAUACAAUGCAUGCAUCACUGUUGAAAAAUUAUCAACAAGGCAAUAGCUGUCUAUGGUAUUCAUGUCCUCCUGUGUAAGACAUAGCAGUUUCUCCAGUGAUUUUUUCUUUUCCUAUUCACUUUCCCACUGAUAUUGUAAAUACUAUUGGUAAAAGCUUUUUUCGUAAACUUACGCUAAAAUUGCAUAAACAAGUUGUGUUUUCAUUUUCCACCUGUAUUUGUUUUUCACGACCCAGCAGUCGACAUAGUAUGAAAGAAACUUGCAACGUGCCUUGUUCAUAUUUAUUAUUGAAUGCAAAAACGUGUUUUGUAACGCUCCCAUUCAUGUCUUGCUCUGUGAAAACGACAAAUAAAUAAGAAGUAAGUAAUCUUCGUAAA